rnacentral:rRNA from 1 species
UGCGGGAGGAACCGGAAGCGGGGUUACGGUGCCCAACUGCGCGCUAACCUAGAACCCACAAAGGGUGUUGGUCGAUUAAGACAGCAGGACGGUGGUCAUGGAAGUCGAAAUCCGCUAAGGAGUGUGUAACAACUCACCUGCCGAAUCAACUAGCCCCGAAAAUGGAUGGCGCUUAAGCGCGCGACCUAUACCCGGCCGUCGGGGCAAGAGCCAGGCCUCGAUGAGUAGGAGGGCGCGGCGGUCG